rnacentral:rRNA from 1 species
UACGGAGGGUGCAAGCGUUGUCCGGAUUUAUUGGGUUUAAAGGGUGCGUAGGCGGUCUGGUAAGUCUGGGGUGAAAGCCCGUUGCUCAACAACGGAACUGCCCUGGAAACUGCCAGACUUGAGUACAGACGAGGGUGGCGGAAUGGAUGCUGUAGCGGUGAAAUGCAUAGAUAGCCUCCAGAACCCCGAUUGCGAAGGCAGCUGCCUAGACUGUAACUGACGCUGAGGCACGAAAGCGUGGGGAGCGAACAGG